UUUUAUUAUAUAAAAUGAAAAAUGUAGAGAAAAAGUAGAUGAAGAAAAAAUAUCAGACAGGCUAGGCUUAUAAACGUCUACAGAAUACUAGUAUUUAAUACUAUUUAUUAUAAGCAUACAAUGUAUUUUCAAGCACAGUAUGAUCAUUAUCAACUACAUCGGCUUCGUCAUCAUCAUCUUCACCAGCCAGUAAGAGCCACACCAUCAUUUCCAUCUACUUAAAAAGUUGUAGUCGUUGUGAAACUGUUUGUUCUUUGUAGUCAAGUUGUUGUUCCUUCAUUUAUGUAUGUGCAUAUGUGCGUCUUUGAUAAAGAAGAAAAAACUGUUGGCAUUGACAAUGGAACGACUGACUUCUACUGUCAUACAUCUACUCCUCUCGGCUACAGGCUCGAUAGUAGUUGAAGAGCUGGAUGAACAAGACUUUCAGAAAAAAUUUUCAAGAAAACUGAACUGGGUACUAGAUGAAUAAGGUUUUUAUUUAUCAAGACGAAGUAGAAUCUAAGGGAAUGCAAUACAUAGUUAAACUUUUCUUUAUUCAUUUGGGUAACAACAAUAUCUCUUGUACGAGGAAUAGUUUCUGUGUGGAGCACAAACGGUUCAUUGUAGAUUGUGGAGGCAUAUUUUUGAUAUAAACCACAUUUUUUAUUAAAAGUUGUAC